CCUACGGGUGGCAGCAGUGAGGAAUAUUUGUCAAUGGACGAGAGUCUGAACCAGCCAAGUAGCGUGAAGGAUGACUGCCCGAUGGGUUGUAAACUUCUUUUAUAUGGGAAUAAAAUGUUCCACGUGUGGGAUGUUGUAUGUUCCAUAUGAAUAAGGAUCGGCUAACUCCGUGCCAGCAGCCGCGGUAAUACGGAGGAUCCGAGCGUUAUCCGGAUUUAUUUGGUUUAAAGGGAGCGUAGGUGGAUUGUUAAGGCAGUUGUGCAAGUUUGCGGCUAAACCGUAAAAUUGCAGUUGAAACUGGCAGUCUUGAGUACAGUAGAGGUGGGCGGAAGUCGUGGUGUAGCGGUGAGAUGCUUAGAUAUCACGAAGAACUCCGAUUGCGAAGGCAGCUCACUGGACUGCAACUGACACUGAGGCUCGAAAGUGUGGGUAUCAAACAGGAUUAGAUACCCCAGUAGUC
rnacentral:rRNA from 1 species